AGUGAACGCUGGCGGUAGGCCUAACACAUGCAAGUCGAACGGCAGCACAGAGGAGCUUGCUCCUUGGGUGGCGAGUGGCGGACGGGUGAGGAAUACAUCGGAAUCUACUCUGUCGUGGGGGAUAACGUAGGGAAACUUACGCUAAUACCGCAUACGACCUACGGGUGAAAGCAGGGGACCUUCGGGCCUUGCGCGAUUGAAUGAGCCGAUGUCGGAUUAGCUAGUUGGCGGGGUAAGGGCCCACCAAGGCGACGAUCCGUAGCUGGUCUGAGAGGAUGAUUGGCCACACUGGAACUGAGACACGGUCCAGACUCCGACGGGAGGCAGCAGUGGGGAAUAUUGGACAAUGGGCGCAAGCCUGAUUCAGCCAUACCGCGUGGGUGAAGAAGGCCUUCGGGUUGUAAAGCCCUUUUGUUGGGAAAGAAAUCCAGCUGGCUAAUACCCGGUUGGGAUGACGGUACCCAAAGAAUAAGCACCGGCUAACUUCGUGCCAGCCGCCGCAGUAA
rnacentral:rRNA from 1 species